rnacentral:rRNA from 1 species
GACGAACGCUGGCGGCGUGCUUAACACAUGCAAGUCGAACGGUAAGGCCCUUUCGGGGGUACACGAGUGGCGAACGGGUGAGUAACACGUGGGUGAUCUGCCCUGCACUUUGGGAUAAGCCUGGGAAACUGGGUCUAAUACCGGAUAGGACUACGCGAUGCAUGUCGUGUGGUGGAAAGCUUGUGCGGUGUGGGAUGGGCCCGCGGCCUAUCAGCUUGUUGGUGGGGUGAUGGCCUACCAAGGCGACGACGGGUAGCCGGCCUGAGAGGGUGUCCGGCCACACUGGGACUGAGAUACGGCCCAGACUCCUACGGGAGGCAGCAGUGGGGAAUAUUGCACAAUGGGCGCAAGCCUGAUGCAGCGACGCCGCGUGGGGGAUGACGGCCUUCGGGUUGUAAACCGCUUUCAGCACAGACGAAGCGUAAGUGACGGUAUGUGCAGAAGAAGCACCGGCCAACUACGUG